ACCUAACUAGUCAAAGAACAGAGUUACAAGAGACAUGCUGAUUCAACGAAUGGGGAUGAGUAAACUGAAUUGCAGAGAGCUUAGAUGACUUGAAAGAGACUUGACAGCUGAGCAGGGAGACCAUCUGUAGCCACCUCCCUGUCACAAGGAAGCCUGCACAUGGAGACCUCCCAUAGAGACGAAAUAUAUCUACAAAAGGGUCACUGCCCUUGCAAGGAAAAUGCGAUCCCAGCACGGCCUGGCGUGUUCCUGGCGGCAGAAAGGACUCCUGCCAGGACAGGAGGAGAAGUUGCCGCUGAGACGAGGAGACGGCGGGAAGCCCUGCAGAUGCCCCAAGCCCACUGAAGCCACAGGAGGGGAAGGGAGGAGGCUGCUGUGCUUUCUGUGUACCUUGUUCUCUGCCCAGAAGGGUCAGCACAGCCAGGCAGCCCCGAAACCCAGUGGAGGCUAAAGAAAGGAGGGCCCUCUCUCCUAGAGAAGGCUCAGUAGGCUCCCGAGGAAAGGGAAGGAGCAACUUUUUCCGUUUGACUUCAAGGAGGAGGGGGAAAGGGUACAGAAUCAAAAUGUAUGGCACUUGCGAUUCAGUUGGCUUAUUUCUGAAAAAAUUGGGGUAGAUUGGGCGCCCAAUGCACCAUAAGCGUUAUGUGUGUUUGUAAACACACACGGGGGUGUACACAGGGGUAGGGGUCUUAGAGAGAAAAGUAAAAAGGGAAAAGAAGGAAAGUAGCAGAGGCUACUUUACACAUAAAAGUACAUAAAUAAGUUUACUUAUGAAGACCAUGGUUUCCCACUAACAGCCCCAUCUUGGUAGCAGAAUGGGACAAACUGUCACAC
rnacentral:lncRNA from 1 species